rnacentral:rRNA from 1 species
UACGGGGGGAGCAAGCGUUGUUCGGAUUUACUGGGCGUAAAGGGCGCGUAGGCGGUCAGCACAAGUCAGUUGUGAAAUCUCCGGGCUUAACUCGGAAAGGUCAACUGAUACUGUGCGACUAGAGUGCAGAAGGGGCAACUGGAAUUCGUCGGUGUAGCGGUGAAAUGCGUAGAUAUCGAGAGGAACACCGGUGGCGAAGGCGGGUCUCUGGGCCGGUAACUGACGUGACGUGGAGGAGCGGAAAGCGUGGGGAGCGAACAGG